UCUUCCUCUGUUGUCGGAGACCUCUACCAUGCGCCCCCAUUGAUCAAUAGUACCUUCUUCAACAAUCUUCUGAGCAUCUUUCAGCGAGGACAUAGGUGCCCCAACUCUCUUCUCAGCAUCAAUAAAUAAGGCUUGGAACGGAGUUCCAACCUCAUCCUCAACUUCUACGUAUGAGAAAGAUGACAAAUGGCUAACCAACAGUGCUUUCUCUCCUCCAACAAUCACUAGCUUUCCAUUCUU
rnacentral:lncRNA from 1 species